GAUUAACGCUAGCGGCAGGCCUAAUACAUGCAAGUCGUACGGUAACAGGUGUAGCAAUACAUGCUGACGAGUGGCGCACGGGUGCGUAACACGUACGCAAUCUGCCUUUAACUGGGGAACAACCCCUCGAAAGAGGGGCUAAUACCGCAUAACAUCACCGGACGGCAUCGCCUGGUGAGCAAACCUACGGGGGUUAAAGAUGAACAUGCGACUGAUUAGUUAGUUGGCGGGGUAACGGCCCACCAAGACAGCGAUCAGUAGGGGAUCUGAGAGAAUGAUCCCCCACACGGGUACUGAGACACGGACCCGACUCCUACGGGAGGCAGCAGUAAGGAAUAUUGGACAAUGGAGGCAACUCUGAUCCAGCCAUGCCGCGUGAAGGAUGAAUGCGCUAUGCGUUGUAAACUUCUUUUAUACGGGAAAAAUAUCCGCUAUUCUUAGCGGAUUGAUUGUACUGUAAGAAUAAGGGUCGGCUAACUUCGUGCCAGCAGCCGCAGUAACAC
rnacentral:rRNA from 1 species